CAGAACAGCACUACAGACGGUGGAAACUUAAUGAAGACUUUCUGCUUCUGUGGAUGCUGAUGGCAGUGAAGAGGAUGAUCAUCAUCAAAGGUCAUCUCACAUUUGAAGCAACUUUUUAUGGUGAAAGCUAUGCGAAGUUCAACAUCACAGAAGUUUCCUCUGAGUUAUCUCUUCAAUUAAAAUUUCAAACCAGCAAACCACAGGGAUUACUUUUUCUUGCAGUUGCGACAAAUGACUAUUGUAUAGUAGAACUUCAAUCAGGAAACUUACAGGCUGGGCAGGAAGAUAAUAUUCCUUCAGAGGCAGUGUUCACAGUCAGAACUACACCAAUGCAUGGAUACCUCCAAAAAUGUAUACCAGAAGAAGGCAGCUUGGGUGCAGAUGAAAGGUCCCUUUUGACUUUUAC
rnacentral:lncRNA from 1 species